rnacentral:rRNA from 1 species
UGGGGAAUAUUGGGCAAUGGAGGCAACUCUGACCCAGCCAUGCCGCGUGGGUGACGAAGGUCUUCGGAUUGUAAAGCCCUUUCGGCGGGGACGAUGAUGACGGUACCCGCAGAAGAAGCCACGGCUAACUUCGUGCCAGCAGCCGCGGUAAUACGAAGGGGGCUAGCGUUGUUCGGAAUUACUGGGCGUAAAGGGCGUGUAGGCGGCCCGCUAAGUCAGGUGUGAAAUUCCUGGGCUCAACCCAGGACGUGCACUUGAGACUGACGGGCUUGAGUCCGGGAGAGGAUGGUGGAACUCCCAGUGUAGAGGUGAAAUUCGUAGAUAUUGGGAAGAACACCCGUGGCGAAGGCGGCCAUCUGGACCGGUACUGACGCUAAGGCGCGACAGCGUGGGGAGCAAACA